UACGGAGGGUGCAAGCGUUAUCCGGAUUUACUGGGUUUAAAGGGUGCGUAGGUGGGCAGGUAAGUCAGUGGUGAAAUCUCCGAGCUUAACUCGGAAACUGCCAUUGAUACUAUCUGUCUUGAAUAUCCUGGAGGUAAGCGGAAUAUGUCAUGUAGCGGUGAAAUGCUUAGAUAUGACAUAGAACACCAAUUACGAAGGCAGCUUACUACGGGAUUAUUGACACUGAGGCACGAAAGCGUGGGGAUCAAACAGG
rnacentral:rRNA from 1 species